UUUCAACCAAAAGCGCCAGGACUGAGCGGGACGACCAUGCGCUCAGUUGACGAGGAGGAGGUUUAUCGAUGAUUCGGCGGAUACCUCCCGGCUGCAGGCACACAGCUGUUACGUUCAUCCUUAAAACAGGGGGGCAACCUCUUGCACAAAGGGAGCGGACAUGUGCUUAA
rfam:Domibacillus enclensis strain NIO-1016 genome assembly, contig: Ga0061089_107